AAUAGAUACCCCGGUAGUCCACGCCGUAAACGGUGGGCACUAGGUGUGGGCAACAUUCCACGUUGUCCGUGCCGCAGCUAACGCAUUAAGUGCCCCGCCUGGGGAGUACGGCCGCAAGGCUAAAACUCAAAGGAAUUGACGGGGGGCCCGCACAAGCGGCGGAGCAUGUGGCUUAAUUCGACGCAACGCGAAGAACCUUACCAAGGCUUGACAUACACCGGAAAAGCAUCAGAGAUGGUGCCCCCCUUGUGGUCGGUGUACAGGUGGUGCAUGGCUGUCGUCAGCUCGUGUCGUGAGAUGUUGGGUUAAGUCCCGCAACGAGCGCAACCCUUGUCCCGUGUUGCCAGCAACUCUUCGGAGGUUGGGGACUCACGGGAGACCGGCCGGGGUCAACUCGGAGGAAGGUGGGGACGACGUCAAGUCAUCAUGCCCCUUAUGUCUUGGGCUGCACACGUGCUACAAUGGCCGGUACAAUGAGCUGCGAUACCGCAAGGUGGAGCGAAUCUCAAAAAGCCGGUCUCAGUUCGGAUUGGGGU
rnacentral:rRNA from 1 species